GCUAUCGUAGCUUACUUAAAGCGUAACGCUGAAAAUGUUAAGAUGGGCCCUAAAAAAGCUCCGAAAGCA
rnacentral:tRNA from 1 species